AGCUGACUCACAACGCCACAUUCCUCUUGAAUCCCUAUGAAGGCAUUGUUUUCGCCAACACCACACCUGCGGCGAAGGACCGCAACAGCAUCGACAUAGCUUACAGACGCACCGUUGUCAGAUUGUUAAUUAAAUCGGUGAGUAUAAUUUUGGUGGCGCUGCUCAUCCGGCAGGCGUCGACAAAGAAAUGGACUCAGCUGCGUUGCUGGAAUCGAAGUGACAGGCGAAAUAAUGAGGGCAGAUUUCGUGGGUAAAACGUGUUCUUUUCAUUUAUUUUAUUUUUUUUUGGAGUUUUUUGCCUGUUGGCGUUGAUGAACUUAAUUUUACGCAUUUUUGAUUUUAUCAUUAAGUUAACGCGACUGCAUGAAUGUCGAAAAAACUUUGACAAAUAAGGGAAUUAAUAUAGUUUUUGAUACAAAAGCUCAUCUGGAGGUCUUGAUUUCAUUAUUUGUCAAAAUUCAAUUAAGGGUGCCAAAUACACACUUAGACUAAGAGAAAAAACCAGGUAUGCCAAGUAAAUAAGCAAAAAAAAAAAAAAAAUGUUUUCGUAUUUGAGUGAUGCUUUAUUUCAAUAGAGCUAAGAAUUUUAUCUUUAAAAAUAUUUUUUCGACAUUGCAGUUAAGUUUAAGGAAGUUGUAAAUUUGGUCCAUUGCGUUUACGAGUGAUUGCACAAAUUCACUGUUAGCUGUGCAGAAAAUAAGAAUU